AUAUAUAUAUAUAUAUAUAUAUAUACAUAGAGAGAAAGAGAGAUGUUAUGAGAGGUAAUAGUGUCAAGAAGACCCAAAGGCGUCAGGUAAUGCUGAGUAAGUGCUAUGGACAAACUAUAGUUAAGCGCCAGGUUCAGUGAUUAUGUGAAUGAGGAGUCCAACGUAGGUCAUAUAUCAGUAUGCGUAUAUAUAAAAAGAUAACAGAUUGAGAUAAAAAUCCAAGGCUGUGAAGGAUUUCAGAACAUUUAUAAAGAGAAGGUCUUACAGCUGU